rnacentral:rRNA from 1 species
AUGAACGCUGGCGGCGUGCCUAAUACAUGCAAGUCGAGCGAACAGACGAGGAGCUUGCUCCUCUGACGUUAGCGGCGGACGGGUGAGUAACACGUGGAUAACCUACCUAUAAGACUGGGAUAACUUCGGGAAACCGGAGCUAAUACCGGAUAAUAUAUUGAACCGCAUGGUUCAAUAGUGAAAGACGGUUUUGCUGUCACUUAUAGAUGGAUCCGCGCCGCAUUAGCUAGUUGGUAAGGUAACGGCUUACCAAGGCGACGAUGCGUAGCCGACCUGAGAGGGUGAUCGGCCACACUGGAACUGAGACACGGUCCAGACUCCUACGGGAGGCAGCAGUAGGGAAUCUUCCGCAAUGGGCGAAAGCCUGACGGAGCAACGCCGCGUGAGUGAUGAAGGUCUUCGGAUCGUAAAACUGUGUUAUUAGGGAAGAGCAAAUGUGUAAGUAACUAUGCACGUCUUGACGGUACCUAAUCAGAAAGCCACGGCUAACUACGUG